rnacentral:rRNA from 1 species
UACGGAGGGUGCAAGCGUUGUUCGGAAUCAUUGGGCGUAAAGGGCGCGUAGGCGGUUCGGUAAGUCGGGUGUGAAAGCCCCGGGCUCAACCCGGGAAGUGCAUCCGAAACUGCCGGACUUGAGUAUGGGAGGGGGAAGUGGAAUUCCUGGUGUAGGGGUGAAAUCCGUAGAUAUCAGGAGGAACACCGGUGGCGAAGGCGACUUCCUGGACCGAUACUGACGCUGAGGCGCGAAAGCGUGGGGAGCAAACAGG